UUCCCCUCUCCCACGUGAGCUCCAUGGCCACAACCUUGCCGCCGCCUCCAAAUAAGGGCAGCUCCGGUGCAGUUCUGCGGCGCUGCUCACCGGCCCCCUCCCUCCUCACUGUUCUUCUCCUAUCUUCCGCCGCCGGAACAUCGUCCCCGUCCCUGCACGCGCCUCCACAGCAGCCCUAUUCGCCACGGGUCGCUGGCGCGGCUCCUCCGCCUCCGGUUUAUCUGCCAACUACCCCUGCAUCUCCGCACCCACGGCCGCCGGUUCGGGCUCAACGGUGCUACUCCGCCAGGGUCACCUCAACUCCGAUGCCAUCUGUUCUGUAAGUCACUCCCCCCUCUCCUGCUUUGUGUGGCAUGGCCAUCGUGCCAUGGCUGAUUCCUUGCCGUCCAUCGCGAUGAUGACCUACACUAUAUACUCAGAUCAUAAUCAACCAAAUAUUACUCUGUAGAAGCGUUACUUUUGUUGAGGUCGCUGCCUGAAUUUGUUAUUCCACCCAUACGUAAUUGUGGUAUAUCUUGCUAGUAAAAGUUAUGUCAGCUGGUGUUCUAGCAUAGACGUCUAUGAACCCCGGACGCCCAGCAGUUAGUUUUUUAAACCAUUUUCUUAUCAAAGUCGAUUGCUUUACUCUCUGAUUUUUCUUUGUGUGAACAUAUAGUAGGGUUGUGGUAUAGUUAUAUUUAACCUGAAGAAAAUAUGUUAUAUUCACUCUCCAAACGUACAUAUUUGUUAAUGGAAAUUUUAUGUUUGUUCCAGGUGACAUUAAAACAUACUUGCAUCAGUUAUACCGUGUUUAUACGAGGAUGUGUGCAAUAAAUAGUGUGUUUUUGUCCUUUUGUAUACACAACUAUUUGUAUUACUUCCUGAACAUAUAAAUUUCCUUUGCAUACGUAGUAGAACCAGAUCACAUCCUUGAUCCAGUGCAUCGCUCCAUGGUCUGAGCUCCACUGUCGUCAUCUGCAAGUGAAAUAUAACUACCUAGGGGUGGCCAUCGUGUCAUCGUAGAUCACAGGUGGACAACAACCAUCAUGAUUUUCAUGGCAGAUCAAGUAAAUAAGAUGUGACAGUAUCUCUGGAUAUCUGUGCUGUGACCCUGUGACAAACUCAUGAAAGAAGAUUCCUUCAAGUAUCACUUAAUAGGUUUUGAAGUGACUUUGCUUCAGCUAACAUGCUUGUGUUAGCUUUUCUAUUACAGGUAAAUCUUCAAGACAUAUGAGUAUUGCAAUUAGCAAAUAUAUGAAUCAAUAAGUUUACAGAAGAUGCCUUAAGAAUGAACUGAGAGCUUUGUCUUUAUUGCAUGGAUUCUUCGCAAGUUGGUGAUUGUGCCACACCACUCCUUUAAAUAAAUUAAGUUCUUUUUAAAAAAUAUACUGUUUUUAUUUCUUCAUUUUCGCAUUCUAUAGGUGAAUUUUCAAUGGAAGACUGGCAUACAUGUUAUCUAGCUUGAUAUUCUUGGCUGAUGUAAGAUAAAGCAUUCAGAUCCAUAUUUUGUACAAUUCUAUACACCAUAAUCUGGAAUCUUAUCCAAAAUCUUAGGAUGGAUAUAGUUCUUUGUGUUCAUGUGUUAUACAAGAUAAAUCAUUACAGAAUCUGAAUGCAAGAAUAUUCUAACCUUUGUUUACAUGAAUCACAACUAUCAACACACAGAGAUAUGAAACAUAUUUUCGAAUUUUCAAAUAUGAACUCGUUUCAUGCAUUUAUUUUAUUUUCAGCUUCUAGUACAUCCGAUUUCCCAAGCUUUCUGUACCUAUUUGUAUUGUUGACCAAUCAUUUGUCAAUCGUCGAGCUACCUUAAGCUGCACCAAAGGCGCACCCCCGCAUAGGUUCUCUCUCGCCCUCUACGUUGGCAUACUUUACCUUGGUUUGGUGAAUCUGAAAGAUGACUACUACUACCAUUGUACAAAAGGGAAAGAUCAUGAAAAAAAUGCAUACAGUUGAAAACACACCUCUUCCUCUAGUGGAUGUUUCCAACUACUAGAACUAGAUGGUUCCUAUAUUGAGUUCACCACUAACCUGCUAGAAAAAGAAAGGACAUUUUAGCAUUCUUAAAUAGCAAAACAUACAUUGCGUAUACUUAUAAGUUGUAACAUGACAGAAAAUUUCAAACAAUAUUGUGCAGAACUACUCUGGAGGUCUGAUUUCUAUCAUAAUUUGCCAGGCUUGGUGACUCAUGCCAGUUUUUGUUAUUAUAGAUUGCAAGAUAAAUAGAUGGUCUAUGGCUAAGCUGUUGAUUGCAAGAUAAAUAGAUGGUACAUGGCUAAGGUCCUGAUUGCAAGGCGGAGAAUGGGGCAACUACCAGAUAGUUCUACAUUAAUGUUAUUGAGUGUUAUUUUCAUUUCGAUGUAUAGAAAAUCAUGUGUAUAUUCCUUGGAUCGUGUUCCAUGUAUUGCAAACGAGUUGAUUUAA